AUUCUGCCAUUGAUUGUGUGAUUUGCAAGUAACUUUUAUAUCCAAUUGCGGAUGAAAGAUUCCUACAGGUAAAAUGUAAUAAAAGUAAAGUUUUCGAAAAAUACAAUUGUCUACAAAACAAAUGACACAAUCUCUAUAAAAAUCAUCAGUUUAAAUAAAAUUUAACAUUGAGUAUGCGCAGAUCCGACAGCAAUGAAACAAACCCAAUAAAA
rnacentral:lncRNA from 1 species